rnacentral:misc_RNA from 1 species
GAUGAAGAACGCAGCGAAAUGCGAUAAGUAAUGUGAAUUGCAGAAUUCAGUGAAUCAUCGAAUCUUUGAACGCACAUUGCGCCCGCCAGUAUUCUGGCGGGCAUGCCUGUCCGAGCGUCAUUUCAACCCUCGAACCCCUCCGGGGGGUCGGCGUUGGGGAUCGGCCCUUUACGGGGCCGGCCCCGAAAUACAGUGGCGGUCUCGCCGCAGCCUCUCCUGCGCAGUAGUUUGCACACUCGCAUCGGGAGCGCGGCGCGUCCACAGCCGUUAAACACCCCAAACUUCUGAAAUGUUGACCUCGGAUCAGGUAGGAAUACCCGCUGAACUUAAGCAUACAAUAAGCGGAGGA